rnacentral:rRNA from 1 species
GUGCCAGCAGCCGCGGUAAUACGUAGGUGGCGAGCGUUGUCCGGAUUUACUGGGCGUAAAGGGUGCGUAGGCGGUUAUUUAAGUCGGAUGUGAAAACCCCGGGCUUAACCUGGGGACGGCAUUUCAAACUGGAAAUCUGGAGUGCAGGAGAGGAAAGUGGAAUUCCAAGUGUAGCGGUGAAAUGCGUAGAGAUUAGUAAGAACACCAGUGGCGAAGGCGCCUUUCUGG